ensembl:lncRNA
CGUCCCGCCAUUACUUGAGUGCUGCGCCAAGUGGCCGCCGCGCCACUUCGAGCUUGCUUCCGUGCGCUCUCCGCCUGUGGAGCCGACGUCCUCGGGCUCCGGGACCCGCCGCCACCGCCGAGGCGCUAGCACUCUGCCCCCCACCCCUCAACCCAGCGCCGCUGCUUCCGCCGCCGUAACGAGCCCCUCACCCAUUGGCUGGAUUAGGCCCCGCCCUCCUCCGAGGAAGCCAGUCACCGCGCAGUCUGAUGGCACCAGGUUUCAUUUUCUCGAGGGAGGUGCCUCGCGGGAAAAGAGUAAUGGAGGCCGACUACAGUGGGCCGAAGGAGCUGCAGGCAGGGCCGAGGGGUUUUCUAACUGUACUUGAUGUUCGCACCGAGGCCAUGGCCCGCGAAGCCUUAGCGUCGUGGGAGGAUCAGAUGCAAGAAACUGGAGCGACUCUGUUGGGUUUACGCUGGACUCUGCGUCAGGAGCUGCUCAUCGGGCCGGACCCACCAGAGAGCUGAGCUGAGCACUCUCAGGUUUAAAGCCGGCUCGGAGAGGCGAAGGACUAGGACACGUUGUACCUGCUUGGUUUUUCCAGAUUACGAAGAAGCGGAGGGAGUGGUGGUGGUUUGUUGUUUUAUUUAGAGUGGAGGGAUGGCGUUUAUACGGCUGUGCAAGACUUAGACAAAACUGCCGAAGCAAAAUCUAAGUCUGAUAAAUAGAGAUCAUGUUUCCCUCCUUCCUUCCCAGAUGGUAAUUUAGGUCUGGAGUUUUGUGUUAAGAAAUAAAAAGGGCUCACAUCCUUCUUCCUUUCAUGCACAGCUAUGUUCUUGCCAGGAAGAGCGUAGCUUGUGGCUACAAGAAUGAACCUAAAAUACCCCUGUCCUUCCUCAAGCCACUUUCGUUUCUCACUCUCUUCCCUUCUCAAAUUUCUUCUAAAAGUAACUGAUGUGAUAUACCUUAGCCUCCUCUCCUUAGGCAGUUGAUUCUGCUUCUGCCACUGCUUCUCAAACUGCUCCCCCUAAGUUUCCAGUGACCCUCUCACCUCUCAGCUUGUCUAGUUUACCAACAGUAGUUCCUCCUUAAAAUCUUCUUCCCUAUGGGGAAAGAAUCCUGAAGAAUAGAUACAUGUAUAUGUGUAAUUGAAUCAUCUUGCUGUUCACCUGAGACUAACACAACAUUGUAAAUCAACUAUACUCCAAAAAAAAAAAAAAAAAAAUCUGACAACACUGUAAAUCAAUUAUAAACUCCUUUGGUCUCCAGAAACACACUCUUUC